rnacentral:tRNA from 1 species
UAUCUAAGUAGCUUAUUUAGAGUUUAAUAUUGAAGAUAUUAAGGAAACAAAAUGUUCUUAGAU